rnacentral:rRNA from 1 species
GGGUCAGUAGGUUGGUCGUGCCACCGGUACGUACUGGUCUCACUGAUUCCUCCUUCCUGAAGAACCGUAAUGCCAUUAAUUUGGUGUUGCGGGGAAACAGGACUGUUACUUUGAAAAAAUUAGAGUGUUUAAAGCAAGCUAACGCUUGAAUACAUAGCAUGGAAUAAUGAAAUAGGACGAUCGAUCCUAUUUUGUUGGUUUCUAGGAUUGACGUA